GACGAACGCUGGCGGCGUGCUUAACACAUGCAAGUCUUGGGGGUCCCGCAAGGGAUCACCGGGCGAACGGGUGCGUAACACGUAAGCGACCUACCGCGGAGUGGGGGAUAGCCGGCCCAACGGCCGGGUAAUACCGCAUACGCUCUUGGGGGGUACCUGCCUCUGGGAGGAAGCCUUUAUUGGGGCUCUGCGCGGGGCUUGCGGCCUAUCAGCUAGUUGGCGGGGUAACGGCCCACCAAGGCGACGACGGGUAGCUGGUCNGAGAGGAUGGCCAGCCACAUUGGGACUGAGAGACGGCCCAGACUCCUACGGGAGGCAGCAGUGGGGAAUCUUGCGCAAUGGGCGAAAGCCUGACGCAGCGACGCCGCGUGUGGGAGGAAGCUCUUCGGGGUGUAAACCACUGUUGCCCGGGACGAACAGCUCGUUUAGACGAGCCUGACGGUACCGGGUGAGGAAGCACCGGCUAACUCUGUGCCAGCCGCCGCAGUAAC
rnacentral:rRNA from 1 species